rnacentral:rRNA from 1 species
UAGAGGAAGUAAAAGUCGUAACAAGGUUUCCGUAGGUGAACCUGCGGAAGGAUCAUUACAGAUUGUUAUUACAAUCUCUCCUUUAUUCUCUCCCCUUUGUGCACCUUAUCGCAUGGGCUUAGUAGUUGUUGUUGUAGUGACACAGAAGUGGUGCUACACACUGCAAAAUGCUUGUGUGAUUUUACUUCAAAUACUAUACAUCAUCUGUAUGGCAUUGUUGUGCAUAUUAUGAGCAUAAUAAAAUAUACAACUUUCAGCAAUGGAUCUCUUGGCUCUCGCAUCGAUGAAGAACGCAGCGAAAUGCGAUAAGUAAUGUGAAUUGCAGAAUUCAGUGAAUCAUCGAAUCUUUGAACGCACCUUGCACCUCUUGGCAUUCCGAGAGGUACACCUGUUUGAGUGUCAUGAAUCUCUAUCCACUUUAUACACUCUGUGUAAGAGUCUAUAACAUUGGGAGUUGGAGGCUUGCAAUGCCCUGCUGGUGUAGGCUAUUGCUCCUCUUGAAUGUAUUAGUGAGGCCCUUGUUGCAACUUUCCUAUUGUAUCAUGCAGCCUUUGGUGUGAUAAUCAUUAAUUGUUAAUACCCUCUGGCUUAACAUGAGUGGGAAGUUAUAUAACAGGACUGUUCACUUAGAGCCCUUUGAAUAAGAGGGGCCCAAUACCUUAACACAGCACUUGACCUCAAAUCAGGUGGGACUACCCGCUGAACUUAAGCAUAU